rnacentral:rRNA from 1 species
UGGGGAAUAUUGGACAAUGGGCGCAAGCCUGAUCCAGCCAUGCCGCGUGAGUGAUGAAGGCCCUAGGGUUGUAAAGCUCUUUCGCCAGGGACGAUAAUGACGGUACCUGGAUAAGAAGCCCCGGCUAACUUCGUGCCAGCAGCCGCGGUAAUACGAAGGGGGCUAGCGUUGUUCGGAAUCACUGGGCGUAAAGCGCACGUAGGCGGAUCUUUAAGUCAGGGGUGAAAUCCCGAGGCUCAACCUCGGAACUGCCUUUGAUACUGGAGGUCUCGAGUCCGGGAGAGGUGAGUGGAACUGCGAGUGUAGAGGUGAAAUUCGUAGAUAUUCGCAAGAACACCAGUGGCGAAGGCGGCUCACUGGCCCGGUACUGACGCUGAGGUGCGAAACGCGUGGGGAGCAAACAGGAUUAGAUACCCUGGUAGUCCACGCCGUAAACUAUGGAUGCUAGCCGUUGGGCAGCUUGCUGUUCAGUGGCGCAGCUAACGCUUUAAGCACCCGCCUGGGGAGUACGGUCGCAAGAUUAAAACUUAAAUGAAUUGACGGGGUCAUAGCGUUU